AACGAACGCUGGCGGCAUGCCUAACACAUGCAAGUCGAACGAGACCUUCGGGUCUAGUGGCGCACGGGUGCGUAACGCGUGGGAACCUGCCCUUAGGUUCGGAAUAACUCCCCGAAAGGGGUGCUAAUACCGGAUAAUGUCUUCGGACCAAAGAUUUAUCGCCUUUGGAUGGGCCCGCGUUGGAUUAGCUAGUUGGUAGGGUAAAAGCCUACCAAGGCGACGAUCCAUAGCUGGUCUGAGAGGAUGAUCAGCCACACUGGGACUGAGACACGGCCCAGACUCCUACGGGAGGCAGCAGUGGGGAAUAUUGGACACUGGGCGAAAGCCUGAUCCAGCAAUGCCGCGUGAGUGAUGAAGGCCUUAGGGUUGUAAAGCUCUUUUACCCGGGAUGAUAAUGACAGUACCGGGAGAAUAAGCUCCGGCUAACUCCAUG
rnacentral:rRNA from 1 species